GAUGAACGCUGGCGGCGUGCCUAAUACAUGCAAGUCGAGCGAACGGACGAGAAGCUUGCUUCUCUGACGUUAGCGGCGGACGGGUGAGUAACACGUGGAUAACCUACCUAUAAGACUGGGAUAACUUCGGGAAACCGGAGCUAAUACCGGAUAAUAUAUUGAACCGCAUGGUUCAAUAGUGAAAGACGGUCUUGCUGUCACUUAUAGAUGGAUCCGCGCUGCAUUAGCUAGUUGGUAAGGUAACGGCUUACCAAGGCAACGAUGCAUAGCCGACCUGAGAGGGUGAUCGGCCACACUGGAACUGAGACACGGUCCAGACUCCUACGGGAGGCAGCAGUAGGGAAUCUUCCGCAAUGGGCGAAAGCCUGACGGAGCAACGCCGCGUGAGUGAUGAAGGUCUUCGGAUCGUAAAACUCUGUUAUUAGGGAAGAACAAAUGUGUAAGUAACUGUGCACGUCUUGACGGUACCUAAUCAGAAAGCCACGGCUAACUACGUG
rnacentral:rRNA from 1 species